UACGGAGGAUCCGAGCGUUAUCCGGAUUUAUUGGGUUUAAAGGGUGCGUAGGUGGCCUGUUAAGUCAGGGGUGAAAGACGGUAGCUCAACUAUCGCAGUGCCCUUGAUACUGAUGGGCUUGAAUGAACUAGAGGUAGGCGGAAUGUGACAAGUAGCGGUGAAAUGCAUAGAUAUGUCACAGAACACCAAUUGCGAAGGCAGCUUACUAUGGUUUUAUUGACACUGCGGCACGAAAGCGUGGGGAUCAAGCAGG
rnacentral:rRNA from 1 species